CAUGUUGUCCAGGAAGUUGAUGCUUGUGUUGGAGUGUCAUGGCCGGGUCAUGGUCAGCCAGACCAGCUAGUCAGAGCCACAGUCUGCAGUCACAAGAGAGGAGUUGAAUCAGGCCAGGUCAGGAUAUCAGGAGGUCAAAGGCAGGAGACAGACUGGAGAGCAGAACCAUGAGUCAGAUGUCAGGAGUCAACUGAAGUCAGAAUGCCAGGAAAUCAAGGCAGAGGAGCGGGAGUGGGAGGCACAGAGUUCAGAGUAGUGUGGAGCCCAGUUGUUUGGCUAGCUAGCUGCUGCUAGCUUAAGUCAGGUUGGCCAAUCAGCUGCUCUGGGAAUCUGCCAGUUGGACCUCAGGAGCAAAGCCUCACACUGGGCCUGGGCUUAGUGGAUCAUAGGAGCUAGGCAGAGCAGUGGGGGUUUCAAUUAAAAUCCACAGGAAAGGAAAGGAAUAUGUCAAUAAAACCACAGACUUAUGGCCAAAGGUCAUAGUGCUGGAGUAUUCAUCUUUAGACUCAUCCUCAGCCUACCACCUGCCAGUCAACUUAAAAUUGAAGAAACUGUAAAGAAGAUACAGAGACUGAUUGUCAAGUUCAAUCUUGUUCCAAGGUUCCACCCCAUACCUUCACCAUCCCUACCAUAAGUCUGGGUCAGACAAAUCAGGUCUCAGGUUUAUGAGAGUGAGAUUGUCCUCAGAGUGUGAAAGAGGAAGCUGUUCUCAAGUACCAUAUCUUCCCCCACAUAACCUCCUUAAUGGAUCCUGUAAUGUUUGAAUGGGGUGGGAAAUCUCAUCCUCGAUAGACUGCCAGGGUAGUGCAUGUAUCCUUGCUCCUUUGGCCAUGGAGCAUCAUGGGGGAUACAGUUUCACCAGAGCAUUUGGCCUCCAGAGGAGAAGGGGAGAACAAGACACCCAGACUACAACUCCCAGGAAGCUCCUCAGUGCCAUUGUAAAUCAAAAUAUUUGGGGCUUUGGCUAAUAUAUACUGGUUUUCAGUUUUUUGAUGACAUAAAGAAAUUUUCUGCAGAAAGCAGAAAAAUUCCACAAUAAUUACUUUGUCAAAAGCCCAAUUCUCCAUCAUAAAGCAGUUUGAGCUUGUGAUAAGAGACUGUUUUAAAUCUUUGUGGUAAUAUUUGAUGAAACAUCAGUUUUCUCAAGAAUUAUUGAUGUUGUGUGAACAUAAGUCAAAGAAUGCUGACAUGCCAAAUGCCCUGCCAGACCCCAUAUGUGAGAUUCUCAUUAAUUUCAACAAGGGUUCCUUGGUCUUAUUGGGCCUAAGUUACAUUCCAACACUUUUACUUGUGUAUACAAUAGAACACAUUUUAUCACAUGUAUGAUGUGCAUUACCUAGACGUGCUAACUGAGACAUAUACCAUAAUUUACAUCUGACCUUUGUAAGGCACAUUAGCACAUAUACAGUCUGAGAGCUAUAAAAAAGAUUAUCACAGACAUGUUAUAUAUGUUACACUGAAACCCUUUAAAGUGUGAGGGAAACGGGAUUCAAUAAUCUCAAGCCAAAAGACUGGAGC